rnacentral:rRNA from 1 species
CACGAACCGUACGAACGUUAUUCGGAAUUACUGGGCUUAAAGAGUGCGUAGGCGGCUUGGAAAGUUGGGUGUGAAAGCCCUCGGCUCAACCGAGGAAUUGCGCUCAAAACUGUCAGGCUUGAGGGAGAUAGGGGUGAGCGGAACUAAUGGUGGAGCGGUGAAAUGCGUUGAUAUCAUUAGGAACACCGGAGGCGAAAGCGGCUCACUGGGUCUCUUCUGACGCUGAGGCACGAAAGCUAGGGGAGCGAACGGGAUUAGAUACCCUCGUA